rnacentral:rRNA from 1 species
CCUACGGGGGGCAGCAGUGGGGAAUAUUGCACAAUGGGGGAAACCCUGAUGCAGCGACGCCGCGUGAGUGAAGAAGUAUUUCGGUAUGUAAAGCUCUAUCAGCAGGGAAGAAAUAGCGACCUUUGGGUCGCCAGACGGUACCUGAUUAAGAAGCCCCGGCUAACUACGUGCCAGCAGCCGCGGUAAUACGGAGGAUGAGAGCGUUAUCCGGAUUUAUGGGGUUUAAAGGGUGCGCAGGCGGAAGGUCAAGUCAGCGGUAAAAUUGAGAGGCUCAACCUAUUCGAGCCGUUGAAACUGGUUUUCGUGAGUGAGUGAGAAGUAUGCGGAAUGCGUGGUGUAGCGGUGAAAUGCGUAGAUAUCACGCAGAACUCCGAUUGCGAAGGCAGCAUACCGGCGCUCAACUGACGCUCAUGCACGAAAGUGUGGGUAUCGAACAGGAUUAGAUACCCGGGUAGUC